ACUUUUUGACGGGAAAAUUUUUCGCGACCUUUGUUCGGCUAAAUACUUUUGGAAAUAGUUUGGGCUUGGGCCUUGGGCCCGAGAAUAGCGUAAGGUUAGAGUCCAAAAUUUACUCUGGACACCCAACCGACGGGUAUGCUAGUGAACCUAGCCCAAUAAGUUAGUCAACCUUUGACCCAAACCUCUUCCUUGAUCCAAUAUGGUCCUUGUAGCUCAUAAUGACAUCUUUGCAUAAUUUUGAAAUAUACUUGUGCGUGCGUUUACGAUUUUCUUAUUUUACCUUUCUUAAUAAUUGGCGAAAUUUCUGCUCGCCUUACCCGAAGCUUACUCGUCAAGCAUCUCACCGACUUUCAAAAGCACAAUUUAUUUACUCCUUAUGUUUUUCAAACUCGAGCAAAACUCCGACAAAACUUGCCUUGCCAUUUUUUCUAUCUAAAAAUAAGUUUUGUGAGACCCGAUCCUUAUUUAGCAUUGUCAACACUUUAAUUUGAGUUUUCUUGUAUUUACUUAUUUUACUUUUAUUUUCCCCAUCAUUUUGGGUUUUUACCACCUUAUUCUUUUACCCCAAAUUUAUCUGCCCAAAGCUGAGCCUUCUCCUUCACACGCAAAACUCAGCUUUUCCUCUUUCCUUGUUCACGUCAGAGUUGGACAGAGAGAAAGGGAGCCUCGUUCAGCUCUUCCCCUCCACGUUUCCAUCAUGCAAAGGGCAACUCCUCCAAGAACAUCAUCUCAGACCUUCAAAAGAGAGAACCCAGGCCAUAAAUCGUCAUUCACCCUUCUCUUCUCACCUUUCCUCUCGACCCUGGACACAUCAGUCUGUUUACGAGCCUCGAAACUCCUAGUUAGAGACCUCCGAUGAAAAAACUUUCUUCAUCAAAGUUGUUCGCCUAUGUCUCCUCUAUCUAGCCUCCAAAUAUCAGCUCCAUCGGAAUUGAUUUGAGACCUGUACACCCCUCGAAGCGGAAGCUGUUCCGGAGCAAGCCUGUUCCGGAUUUCUGCUUAAACUUCCUCUCUUGCUCUACCCGAAUCCACAACACCUUGCUUGAGACUGAUACCAACAGUUGUCUCUGUUUCACUUUGCAUGUUCGAGAUUGAGCAAACUUCUUGGCCUGUGGCUGGACUCGAUCCAAUCAGCUCCCUCAGCUCUCUUUCCUGUUGAAAUCCUCAAGAGAAGCUCACUUUUUUGAUUAAUCUUUGGCUUGACAUCGUGGUGGAAUCUUGUGAAGUGGUGGUUGCUACAAGGUUGCAUUGAGGCCAAGUGCUGCAAGAGAAAGCUCGAGUUCCAGGUAGGGGAUGCCUUUAACUCUAUCUAUGCUUUUCUUGCAUAUACUAUGUUUUAUAUGAGGCCUCUUGCAUGGUUUUUGGAAAUUAUCUGUUUUACAAUUGAAAUGGUUUGCGUGGAUUGGAUUGAUGUGUUGGCAAUUGAUGGGGAUGUAAGGAGAGGUCAGUUCCUCCUUGAGCCACCGGUGGUGGGCAGUGUGCACCAUGCCCUUGUUAUCUCCCCUUUGUCUCUAGCCUUGUGAUUAAUGAAUUCCGGAAAGUGAUUGGCUAGAUGGACGGUUGUGAUGGAAGUGUGAAAGAUGACCAAUUGCCGUGGGAUUGUAGUUACGUGGUGACGAUCACGUGGAAGCGCAAACCGGUUUUAUCUACUUCUUUUAUUCAAAACAAUAACUCAUGUUUUUAAACUUAGAUAUGGGGGCGGGCAUGGGCAAUGACUGGAUGUAGGAGCCUAACCCCUACUUUAGUUUGUUUUGCAGGCUGUUGUUGUUGAAGCUUGGGCACGGAGGAUAAUCCUUGGAGGACACAAUUUGUUUUACUCUAUUUAAAGUUUAUUUCUUUUCGGCUUGCUUGAUUUCACUAAAGUUUUGUAACAUUAUGUAUGGUUGAUGAUGUGUGUGCUUGCUUACCACCAAAGUGGAACCCUAGGGUUAGAACCUCCAUUUGAAUUUAGGUCCUAGUGGGCUAGACCUAGAAGACUCACAUAAAUUACCAUUUAAUGAACUUAAUGCAAACUUGGGGCUAAGAACUAAAAAUUGACAUAGGUUCUAAAACUCAACUCAACACCACCUUCCUUUCCUCUUAUUCGCCUAGUUCGUAAUCUUGUGAUUACGAGCCAAGCCCACUAUACAAGCCCAAGAAUUUCAGGCUUAUAGAUUUCUUGCUUUCCAACCUAAAG